CCUACGGGAGGCAGCAGUGGGGAAUUUUGGACAAUGGGCGAAAGCCUGAUCCAGCAAUGCCGCGUGAGUGAAGAAGGCCUUCGGGUUGUAAAGCUCUUUUGUCAGGGAAGAAACGGUGAGAGCUAAUAUCUCUUGCUAAUGACGGUACCUGAAGAAUAAGCACCGGCUAACUACGUGCCAGCAGCCGCGGUAAUACGUAGGGUGCAAGCGUUAAUCGGAAUUACUGGGCGUAAAGCGUGCGCAGGCGGUUUUGUAAGUCUGUCGUGAAAUCCCCGGGCUCAACCUGGGAAUUGCGAUGGAGACUGCAAGGCUAGAAUCUGGCAGAGGGGGGUAGAAUUCCACGUGUAGCAGUGAAAUGCGUAGAGAUGUGGAGGAACACCGAUGGCGAAGGCAGCCCCCUGGGUCAAGAUUGACGCUCAUGCACGAAACGACGGUGGGGAGGACGAAACGAAGGAAGUUAGUAUACCUACGGUAGUACCGACCGACCCGUAAACCGAACUAGUCUACUAGUUAGGUUCGGGUUUUAAGUUUAACGUUUAGGUUAACGUACG
rnacentral:rRNA from 1 species